ensembl:lncRNA
CCCUGGAAGCAGGGGAGAGGAAGGUGGUGUACGGCUGCAGAGGACAGGUGUCACUGCAGCCUUGGAGAAGUGGAGAGCAAAGGCAGGAGGGAAUGUGCCCAGGAGGCUGGUAAGGGCGGGAGAGGAAAGGAAGGGGCAGCCGGCUCCGGAAGCCUGGGGAGCGCGACUCGGACCCUGGCCAAGGGACCGGCCAUGGGAGCCGCCUCGGCUGGCCGGCUGGGUUCUGGGGCUCCGACACCAGGGGCCCUAAACAGCACACUCGGCUGGUGUGUCAUGGUCUGUACCUACGUACAUGUCCCCCAAGAGCCUAGAGCUCAGCAGCGGGACCUUCAGAAGCUGACUGGGCUGCGAAGGCUCAGAGCUGACGGUCUAGGAGGCGGGGCCUGGCCGGAGGAGGUGGUCACCGGGGCGGGGCCUGGGAGGGGGUCUCCCAGGCUCCCCCCUCUCGACUUCCUGUUCCCCUCGCGGUGAGCUGCGCUCCUCUGCCAGGCCCCUCCGCCUCGCUUCUCUGCCAUGGACUGUGGGCUGAAGCGGGAGCCUGAAUAACCUCUCCUGUAAGUUAGAGGUGGCGGGUGUUGUGUCCCAGCGACGGGAAGGUGACUAGGACGGCGUAGAACUCAGGCCCCAGUGCACCCGCCGGCUGGACACCUUGGGGAAAGGACUGGAGCCGCCCUGUCCCCGCUGGAUGCCAUUCAUUCCUCGUCCUUUGCAGUUUGAUGAGACCUGGACUCCAGGGACUUGUGAGUGACACCCAGGUGGGCCGUGCUGUGUCACUGCCCCCUCCAGCCCCAGUGUCCCCCCAAGGGUCACGACUGCCCCCUCCAGCCCCAGCCCUUGGCACAGUGCCUGUGACAGAUGAAUGAAUGAGCAGUGAGUGCUCCCUGCUGCUCCUGGACCCUGGGGGCCAUGGCUUCUCCGUCCAGGCUUCGUCCCAUUCUGCUGGGCCUGGCAGCUGGCAGGGGCAGGAGAGGCUGAUGUCUCCCCUUGCUCCUCGCCUGCGCCCCCUUCACUCUGACUGUUGCUAACACGGGAAGGUGGAGGGGCCUUGUGCUCCCCAAAGAGCCCUCUGCAUCCUGUGGGGUUCUGAUGACCACGAACUGUCAUGUUCUUAUGCUUUUCAAGUCAAUUCACAUCUUUUCUUUUCGGCAGUACUGGGGACUGACCCCAGGCCUUCACAUUGACCCACAUCUGCAGCAACCCCCCCCCCCAUUUUUUUUUUUUUUUGGUACCGGGGAUCAAACUCAGGUCCUUGCGCUUGCAAGGCAGGUGACAGAACCUCUGAGCUAAAUCCCCGGCCCCAUCAUCCCCCUCCUUUUGAGACAGGGUCUCACUGUAUAGUUCAGGCUGGCCUUGAACUCAUUAUGGAGCCCUGGCUGCCUCGAACUCAUGGCAAUCCUCUUGCCUCAGCCUCCUGAGUACAGGUGUGCACCACCACGUUCAGCAUCCCCAGCCCUUUUAUAUUUUGUAUUUUGAGACAGGGUCUCUCUAUGUUGCCCAGGAUAGGCACGAACUUAGGAUCCUCCUCCCUCAGCCUCCCAGAGUGCUGGGAUGACAGGUGAGCCCCACCACCUGGCUAAUUCACGACUUCUUGCUGAGGCCCACCUGCCUUCCCCACCUGCACACCCUGGGGCCCAGCUCCCCGUUUUCCCAGCCAGGGGACUUGGACCCACUUCACGGAGCAUGGGAACCUCUGGUCUACAGCAGAACUCCUGUGAAACCGUAGGUUUGCUGUGUGGUCUACACCGCUGGCUGUGAGUCCAACAUCCAUGCUCCCCUCUGGCUUUACUAAUAAAACCUAAUUCUGUUCAGAACAGAACAGUGGCACCGGUCUACACUCUGUUUUCUUGCUUCCUCUGCAAGCAGGGGCCGCCCCCCAACACAGCUCUGGCCAGUAAGACAUUAGCGGGUGUCAACAGGUAGGGAUAGGGAGGCAGAAGUCAGCACUUUGCCUGUGCUCUUUCCCUUCUCUCUGCCUGGAACACAGAUGCAGUGCUGGAGGUGGAGCAGCCACUUUGUGUCCAUCGAUGACUAUGAGAAAAAAAAUGGAUAGAAAAAGCCCG